AUUGAACGCUGGCGGCACGCCUAACACAUGCAAGUCGAGCGGCAGCGCGAUAUGUAGCAAUACAUAUUGGCGGCGAGCGGCGGACGGGUGAGGAACACGUAGGAACCUACCCUCGAGUGGGGGAUAACCAAGGGAAACUUUGGCUAAUACCGCAUGAUUUCGAGAGAGCAAAGCUGCCGCAAGGUGGCGCUCGAGGAGGGGCCUGCGUCCGAUUAGCUAGUUGGUGAGGUAAGAGCUCACCAAGGCGAUGAUCGGUAACUGGUCUGAGAGGACGACCAGUCACACUGGGACUGAGACACGGCCCAGACUCCUACGGGAGGCAGCAGUGGGGAAUAUUGGACAAUGGGGGCAACCCUGAUCCAGCGAUGCCGCGUGAGUGAAGAAGGCCUUCGGGUCGUAAAGCUCUUUAGGUUGGGAAGAAGAGUGAUGGAGGAAAUGCUAUCACUUUGACGGUACCGACAGAAUAAGCACCGGCAAACUCUGUGCCAGCAGCCGCAGUAAGAC
rnacentral:rRNA from 1 species